rnacentral:rRNA from 1 species
AUGGGCCUUGAUGACAAGGAAAUCGUUGCUUUGUCUGGGGCACAUACACUUGGAAGGUCUAGGCCUGAACGGAGUGGCUGGGGGAAACCUGAAACAAAAUAUACUAAAAAUGGUCCUGGUGCACCUGGUGGACAAUCAUGGACAGCUGAGUGGCUGAAGUUUGAUAACAGUUACUUCAAGGAGAUAAAAGAGAAAGGAGAUCAGGAUCUUCUUGUGCUGCCUACAGAUGCUGCAUUAUUUGAGGACCCAACAUUCAAGGUCUAUGCAGAGAAAUAUGCAGCAGACGAAGAAGCAUUCUUUAAAGACUAUGCGGAGGCUCAUGCUAAACUGAGCAGCCUGGGUGCAAAGUUUGAUCCUGCCGAGGGAUUCUCAUUGGAUGAUUAG